rnacentral:rRNA from 1 species
UACGAAGGGGGCUAGCGUUGCUCGGAAUUACUGGGCGUAAAGGGCGCGUAGGCGGAUAUUUAAGUCGGGGGUGAAAGCCCAGGGCUCAACCCUGGAAUAGCCUUCGAUACUGGAUAUCUUGAGUACGGGAGAGGUGAGUGGAACUCCGAGUGUAGAGGUGAAAUUCGUAGAUAUUCGGAAGAACACCAGUGGCGAAGGCGACUCACUGGCCCGUUACUGACGCUGAGGCGCGAAAGCGUGGGGAGCAAACAGG